UACGAAGGGGGCUAGCGUUGUUCGGAAUUACUGGGCGUAAAGGGCGCGUAGGCGGCCCGCUAAGUCGAACGUGAAAUCCCCAGGCUUAACCUGGGAACUGCGUCCGAUACUGGCAGGCUUGAAUCCGGGAGAGGGAUGUGGAAUUCCAGGUGUAGCGGUGAAAUGCGUAGAUAUACGGAGGAACACCUGCGGCGAAGGCGGGUAGCUGGGCCAACACUGACGCUGAUGUGCGAAAGCUAGGGGAGCAAACGGG
rnacentral:rRNA from 1 species